AUUGAACGCUGGCGGAAUGCUUUACACAUGCAAGUCGAGCGGCAGCACGGGGGCAACCCUGGUGGCGAGCGGCGAACGGGUGAGUAAUACAUCGGAACAUGCCCAGUCGUGGGGGAUAACACUUCGAAAGAAGUGCUAAUACCGCAUACGUCCUGAGGGAGAAAGCGGGGGAUCGCAAGACCUCGCGCGAUUGGAGUGGCCGAUGUCAGAUUAGCUAGUUGGUGGGGUAAAGGCCUACCAAGGCAACGAUCUGUAGCUGGUCUGAGAGGAUGAUCAGCCACACUGGGACUGAGACACGGCCCAGACUCCUACGGGAGGCAGCAGUGGGAAAUUUUGGACAAUGGGGGCAACCCUGGUCCAGCCAUUCCGCGUGAGUGAAGAAGGCCUUCGGGUUGUAAAGCUCUUUCGGCAGGAACGAAACGGCGAGCUCUAACAUAGCUUGCUAAUGACGGUACCUGAAGAAGAAGCACCGGCUAACUACGUG
rnacentral:rRNA from 1 species